AGUCAACCUAACCUAUGGACGGGAAUAACCUCGGGAAACUGAGUAUAAUGCCCGAUAGAACAUUAUGCCUGGAAUGGUUUAUGUUCCAAAUGAUUUAUCGCCGUAGGAUGGGACUGCGGCCUAUCAGUUUGUUGGUGAGGUAAUGGCCCACCAAGACUAUUACAGGUACGGGCUCUGAGAGGAGUGGCCCGGAGAUGGGUACUGAGACACGGACCCAGGCCCUAUGGGGCGCAGCAGGCGAGAAAACUUUGCAAUGUGCGAAAGCACGACAAGGUUAAUCCGAGUGGUUUCUGCUAAAGGAACCUUUUGUCGGUCCUAGAAACACCGAUGAAUAAGGGGUGGGCAAGUUCUGGUGUCAGCCGCCGCGGUAAAACCAGCACCUCAAGUGGUCAGGAUGAUUAUUGGGCCUAAAGCAUCCGUAGCCGGCUUUGUUAGUUUUCGGUUAAAUCUGUACGCUUAACGUACAGGCUGCCGGGAAUACUGCAGAGCUAGGGAGUGGGAGAGGUAGACGGUACUCGGUAGGAAGGGGUAAAAUCCUUUGAUCUAUUGAUGACCACCUGUGGCGAAGGCGGUCUACCAGAACACGUCCGACGGUGAGGGAUGAAAGCUGGGGGAGCAAACCGGAUUAGAUACCCGGGUAGUCCCAGCUGUAAACUAUGCAAACUCAGUGAUGCGUUGGCUUGUGGCCAAUGCAGUGCU
rnacentral:rRNA from 1 species